rnacentral:rRNA from 1 species
GUCGUACGUUUUGAAAAACGAGCCAGGGAGUGUGUCUGAUUGGCAAGUCUAACCGGAGCAUCCGGGGAGGCACAGGGAAACCGACAUGGCCGCAGCGCUUUGCGCGAGGGCCGCCGUCUUCAAGGGCGGGGAGCCACUCGGACACGACCCGAAUCCGGACGAUCUACGCAUGGACAAGGUGAAGCGUGCCGAAAGGCACGUGGAAGCCUGUUAGAGUUGGUGUCCUACAAUACCCUCUCGUGAUCUAUGUGUAGGGGUGAAAGGCCCAUCGAGUCCGGCAACAGCUGGUUCCAACCGAAACAUGUCGAAGCAUGACCUCCGCCGAGGUAGUUCGUGGGGUAGAGCGACCGAUUGGUGUGACCGCCUCCGAGAGGAGUCGGCACACCUGUCAAACUCCAAACCUACGAACGCUGUUUGACGCGGGGAUUCCGGUGUGCGGGGUAAGCCUGUGCACCAGGAGGGGAACAACCCAGAGAUAGGUUAAGGUCCCCAAGUGUGGAUUAAGUGUAAUCCUCUGAAGGUGGUCUCGAGCCCUAGACAGCCGGGAGGUGAGCUUAGAAGCAGCUACCCUCUAAGAAAAGCGUAACAGCUUACCGGCCGAGGUUUGAGGCGCCCAAAAUGAUCGGGACUCAAAUCCACCACCGAGACCUAUCCGUGCCCUUGAUCGGGCAAUCGAGUAGGUUGGCGCUCUCAUUGGGUGGAAGCAGGGGUGAGAACUCCUGUGGACCGAUGAGUGACGAAAAUCCUGGCCAUAGUAGCAGCGAUAGUCGGGUGAGAACCCCGACGGCCUAAUGGAUAAGGGUUCCUCAGCACUGCUGAUCAGCUGAGGGUUAGCCGGUCCUAAGUCUCACCGCAACUCGACUGAGACAAAAUGGGAAACGGGUUAAUAUUCCCGUGCCAUCAUACAGUGAAAGUCGACGCCCUGGGGUCGAUCACGCCGGGCUUUCGCCCGGUCGAACCGUCCAACUCCGUGGAAGCCGUAACGGCACGAAGCGGACGAACGGCGGCA